rnacentral:rRNA from 1 species
GAUGAACGCUGGCGGCGUGCUUAACACAUGCAAGUCGAACGGAAAGGCCCAAGCUUGCUUGGGUCCUCGAGUGGCGAACGGGUGAGUAACCCGUGGGUGAUCUGCCCUGCAGUUCGGGAUAAGCUUGGGAAACUGGGGCUAAUACCGGAUAGGACGAUGGUUUGGAUGCCAUUGUGGCAAGUUUUUUCGGUGUGGGAUGAGCUCGCGGCCUAUCAGCUUGUUGGUGGGGUAAUAGCCUAACAGGGCGUCGGCGGGUAGCCGGCCUGGGAGGGUGUACGGCGACAUUCGGACUGAGAACCGGCACAGACUCCAACGGGAGGCAGCAGUGAGGAAUAUUGCACAAUGGGCGAAAGCCGGAUGCAGCGACGCGGCGUGGGGGAUGACGGCCUUCGGGUUGUAAACUCCUUACGCCAGGGACGAAGCGUUUUUGUGACGGUACCUGGAGAAGAAGCACCGGCUAACUACGUG